rnacentral:rRNA from 1 species
CACCGCGGUUAUACGAGAGGCCCAAGUUGACAGCCACCGGCGUAAAGAGUGGUUAAGAGACAACCUAAAACUAAAGCCGAAUACUCUCAGGACUGUCAUACGUGUCCGAGAGCAAGAAGCCCCCCUACGAAAGUGGCUUUAACCCUUCUGAACCCACGAAAGCUGGGAAA